AUUGAACGCUGGCGUCAGGCCUAACACAUGCAAGUCGAACGAGUGGCGGACGGGUGAGUAAUGUCUGGGAAACUGCCUGAUGGAGGGGGCUAACUACUGGACACGGUAGCUACUACCGCAUACCAUCAGAUGUGCCCCGAUGGGAUUAGCUAGUUGGUUGGGUAACGGCUCACCAAGGCUACGAUCCCUAUCUGGUCUGAGAGGAUGACCAGCCAAACUGGAACUGAGACACGGUCCAGACUCCUACGGGAGGCAGCAGUGGGGAAUAUUGCACAAUGGGCGCAAGCCUGAUGCAGCCAUGCCGCGUGUAUGAAGAAGGCCUUCGGGUUGUAAAGUACUUGCAGCGGGGAGGCGUUACCCGCAGAAGAAGCACCGGCUAACUCCGUGCCAGCCGCCGCGGUAAUUC
rnacentral:rRNA from 1 species